AGAAUGAACGCUAGCGGCGUGCUUAACACAUGCAAGUCGUACGAGAACUCUUUAGCUUGCUAAAGAUAGUAAAGUGGCGCACGGGUGAGUAACGCGUGGGUAAUCUACCUCGGAAUUUGGGAUAACUCCGCGAAAGCGGGGCUAAUACCAGAUAAUAUUUCAGGAUCUUCGGAUUUUGAAAUCAAAAGUGGUCUCUACAUGUAAGCUACUGUUUGGAGAUGAGCCCGCGUACCAUUAGCUUGUUGGUAGGGUAAUGGCCUACCAAGGCUACGAUGGUUAGCUGGUCUGAGAGGAUGAUCAGCCACACUGGAACUGACACACGGUCCAGACUCCUACGGGAGGCAGCAGUGGGGAAUUUUGCGCAAUGGGGGAAACCCUGACGCAGCAACGCCGCGUGAGUGAUGAAGGCUUUCGGGUCGUAAAGCUCUGUCAAGUGGGAAGAACAUGGAAAAUGUUAAUAUCAUUUUUUACUGACGGUACCACUAAAGGAAGCACCGGCUAACUCCGUGCCAGCAGCCGCGGUAAUACGGGGGGUGCAAGCGUUAUUCGGAAUUAUUGGGCGUAAAGGGCGCGUAGGCGGUCUUUUAAGUCAGAUGUGAAAGCCCGGGGCUUAACCCCGGAAGUGCAUUUGAAACUGAAGGACUUGAGUAUGGGAGAGGGAAGUGGAAUUCCUGGUGUAGAGGUGAAAUUCGUAGAUAUCAGGAGGAACAUCGGUGGCGAAGGCGACUUCCUGGACCAAUACUGACGCUGAGGCGCGAAGGCGUGGGGAGCAAACAGGAUUAGAUACCCUGGUAGUCCACGCAGUAAACGAUGAACACUAGGUGUAGCGGGUAUUGACCCCUGCUGUGCCGCAGUUAACGCAUUAAGUGUUCCGCCUGGGGAGUACGACCGCAAGGUUAAACUCAAAGGAAUUGACGGGGGCCCGCACAAGCGGUGGANCAUGNNGGUUUAAUUCGACGCACGCNANACNUUACCUGGAUUUGACAUCCCGGGGNNUCCCUU
rnacentral:rRNA from 1 species